CAGUAGCCGCGGGAAUACGCAGGUGGCAAGCGUUGUCCGGAAUUAUUGGGCGUAAAGGGCUCGCAGGCGGUUUCUUAAGUCUGAUGUGAAAGCCCCCGGCUCAACCGGGGAGGGUCAUUGGAAACUGGGAAACUUGAGUGCGGAAGAGGAGAGUGGAAUUCCACGUGUAGCGGUGAAAUGCGUAGAGAUGUGGAGGAACACCAGUGGCGAAGGCGACUCUCUGGUCUGUAACUGACGCUGAGGAGCGAAAGCGUGGGGAGCGAACAGGAUUAGAUACCCGGGUAGUCCCUGUCUCUUAUAC
rnacentral:rRNA from 1 species